rnacentral:tRNA from 1 species
GAGCCAUUAGCUCAGGCGGUAGAGCAUCUGACUUUUAAUCAGAGGGCCGGAGGUUCGAUUCCUCCAUGGCUCA